UUGGAGGGCAAGUCUGGUGCCAGCAGCCGCGGUAAUUCCAGCUCCAAUAGCGUAUAUUAAAGUUGCUGCAGUUAAAAAGCUCGUAGUUGAAUUUCGGGACCAUCAUGUCGGUCGUGCCUCGGUACGUACUGGCAUUGUUGGUUUCUCCCUUCUGACGAACCAUGAUGUCAUUUAUUUGGUGUCGUGGGAAAUCAGGACUGUUACUUUGAAAAAAUUAGAGUGUUUAAAGCAGGCUCACGCUUGAAUACAUUAGCAUGGAAUAAUGAAAUAGGACGUUUGAUUCCAUUUUGUUGGUUUCUAGGAUCGACGUAAUGAUUAAUAGGGAUAGUUGGGGGCAUUAGUAUUCAAUUGUCAGAGGUGAAAUUCUUGGAUUUAUUGAAGACUAACUACUGCGAAAGCAUUUGCCAAGGAUGUUUUCAUUAAUCAAGAACGAAAGUUAGGGGAUCGAAGACGAUCAGAUACCGUCGUAGUCUUAACCAUAAACUAUGCCGACUAGGGAUCGGAUGAUGUUAAUUUUUUAAUGACUCAUUCGGCGCCUUACGGGAAAC
rnacentral:rRNA from 1 species